AUGAACGCUGGCGGCGUGCCUAAUCCCUGCAAGUCGAGCGAACGGACGAGAAGCUUGCUUCUCUGAUGUUAGCGGCGGACGGGUGAGUAGCACGUGGAUAACCUACCUAUAAGACUGGGAUAACUUCGGGAAACCGGAGCUAAUACCGGAUAAUAUUUUGAACCGCAUGGUUCAAAAGUGAAAGACGGUCUUGCUGUCACCUAUAGAUGGAUCCGCGCUGCAUUAGCUAGUUGGUAAGGUAACGGCUUACCAAGGCAACGAUGCAUAGCCGACCUGAGAGGGUGAUCGGCCACACUGGAACUGAGACACGGUCCAGACUCCUACGGGAGGCAGCAGUAGGGAAUCUUCCGCAAUGGGCGAAAGCCUGACGGAGCAACGCCGCGUGAGUGAUGAAGGUCUUCGGAUCGUAAAACUCUGUUAUUAGGGAAGAACAUAUGUGUAAGUAACUGUGCACAUCUUGACGGUACCUAAUCAGAAAGCCACGGCUAACUACGUG
rnacentral:rRNA from 1 species